CAAUGAACCACUACUUAGACCUUAUGGUGGCUAUCAAACUAUUGGAGAUGCUGUUGGAGCAACUAUUGCUUGGCCAUAUACUUUUGUUAAAUGCAAGUAGUGCACGAUGCCGUAUUUAUCUCUACGUCAUAUAUUUUGAAGCUUUUGGAAUUAAAGAAGAUGAUUUGAAGCUUUUGGAAUUAAAGAAGAUACGGCGCACAUUUCUUAUCAUUUUGUUAUGAUCACUUUUAUAUGUUAUGAUCUUUUGUUAUGAUCACUUUUAUAUGUUAUUACUUGGAUAUUGAAGUAUUUGUGUUUACAAAUAUUAUCUUAAGGUAUUUUGGGAUGUUAGAUAUUUAAACAAUUUAAAUAUGAAAUGUAUGAGUUGUUUAGUUGUGUUUAAA